AGUGAACGCUGGCGGCGUGCUUAACACAUGCAAGUCGAACGAGAACGGGAUUAGCUUGCUAAUCUGUCAGCUAAGUGGCGCACGGGUGAGUAAUAUAUAGGUAACGUGCCUUCAAGAGGGGGAUAACAGAUGGAAACGUCUGCUAAAACCCCAUAUGCCUUUAAUGCGAAAGUAUGCAAGGGAAAUAUUUAUAGCUUGAAGAUCGGCCUGUACAGUAUCAGAUAGUUGGUGAGGUAAUAGCUCACCAAGUCAAUGACGCUUAACUGGUUUGAGAGGAUGAUCAGUCACACUGGAAUUGAGACACGGUCCAGACUCCUACGGGAGGCAGCAGUGGGGAAUAUUGCACAAUGGGGGAAACCCUGAUGCAGCAACGCCGCGUGGAGGAUGACACAUUUCGGUGCGUAAACUCCUUUUAUAUAAGAAGAUAAUGACGGUAUUAUAUGAAUAAGCACCGGCUAACUCCGUGCCAGCAGCCGCGGUAAUACGGAGGGUGCAAGCGUUACUCGGAAUCACUGGGCGUAAAGAGCGUGUAGGCGGAUAGAUAAGUCAGAAGUGAAAUCCAAUAGCUUAACUAUUGAACUGCUUUUGAAACUGUCUAUCUAGAGUAUGGGAGAGGUAGAUGGAAUUUCUGGUGUAGGGGUAAAAUCCGUGGAGAUCAGAAGGAAUACCGAUUGCGAAGGCGAUCUACUGGAACAUAACUGACGCUGAGACGCGAAAGCGUGGGGAGCAAACAGG
rnacentral:rRNA from 1 species